CAAAAUAUAGAGAAGUCAAUGUUGGAAACUAUUUAUUUCACUGUUCUUCGGUUUUCCCGCAAUAAGUCACAAAAUUGGAAAAACAACAACAUGUCGUGCACACAGGAAAAAGAAGAAAAGGCAGCUGAUUAUUGGCUUCUUGCACAAUGUGUCUCUGUUGAAAAAAAGUUCCAAACCCACUUAAGGUGAGUUACAAAGUGGCCACAGAAGACAAUUAUUUGAGAGAGCCAAUGGUGUAAUAACCAAGGAUAUGUUGCAAGUUAAAACAGACAUACUUGAUGUUUAAUUCAGACACUUUAUCCAGUUGAUGAACUGGUGGGUUACAAAGUGGCUAUGUCUAGAAGAUAAUUAUUAGAGAGAACCAAGAAUAUCUUGAAAGUUGGACAUGCAGCAAUACAGAAAUUCAAAGACUUUAUCCAGUUGAUAAGCUA